rnacentral:rRNA from 1 species
GAUGAACGCUAGCGGGAGGCCUAACACAUGCAGGCCGAGCGGUAUUGUUUCUUCGGAAAUGAGAGAGCGGCGUACGGUGCGGAACACGUGUGCAACCUGCCUUUAUCUGGGGAUAGCCUUUCGAAAGGAAGAUUAAUACUCCAUAAUAUAUUGAACGGCAUCGUUUAAAUAUUGAAAGCUCCGGCGGAUAGAGAUGGGCACGCGCAAGAUUAGCUAGUUGGUGAGGUAACGGCUCACCAAGGCAAUGAUCUUUAGGGGCCUGAGAGGGUGAUCCCCCACACUGGUACUGAGACACGGACCAGACUCCUACGGGAGGCAGCAGUGAGGAAUAUUGGUCAA